GGCGGUGCCUUGCGGCGGAGGCCGGGAGCACGUGGGUUGGGGAUCAGCCGAGCCCAGGAAGCCUUAGGCCUAUUGCGGCCAAGUUCGACCGGCGAGAGGCGCUGCGGGCAGCUUCCUAAGAGGACAUCUCUCUGGCCCAGACUGUCCUGACUGCCAGACCCAGCUGCUGCCAGCCUCCUUGCCUUCUGAAACUGUCACGGGCACGUCAAGUUGAACAGACUUGUGUCUUGAUGAGGACCCUCCCUCAAUUCUACACGAAAGCCCUGGCUCUUCAGGCUGUUCCAUGCUUCCUGCCUUUGUUCGUGCCUUUGUUCUGCUGAGAAGGCUGUGUGUCACGCUGGAGCCAGUCAGGAGAAACCACGCAGUAAGCAGAC